CAAAAAGUGCAAACAAGCGGAGACGUCCCCGUAAAGCGCGGAGACGUCCCCGGAGCGCCUGGGACGCGACUAACAACUUUUUCAGGUUUGAUUUGAAUUUCAAACGUCUCUUUUUUGUGUCUAACGGCUAUAUUUGCUUUUGGGGCUAUAAAAGGGACCUCUUAAGUGCUUCUCAACAUCUUCUUACCAACCCAAUACAAGAUCAUUCAAGAGAGAAGAGAGAAAAAGAGGUUCAAG
rnacentral:lncRNA from 1 species